AUGGGAACUGCUGAGUUACGGCCUGAACCUCUGAUUGAUCACCUGAGGCGAGCCAUGAGUCAGCCAGAGGAGCACAGGUGAAGGCAAUUCACCUACCUAUUUAAGAGCUGGCUACCAGAGGGGAAGGAUCUCUUCUGGAGAUCACCCCUCUUGGUGUCUUCUGGUGAGCUCAGCCGAAGGGUAAGCUCUUCCACUAAUUCUCUUUUGUGAUCGUUGUUUACUUUGCCUAAUUCUCUUGAUUAUAUUGUAAUCAUAACACCUUGAUAUCUAUUGAUUAUACAAUUAUAUUGUAAUUAUAA